GCCGGCUGUUGGCGCGAGAGGACGCGCGCCGCCGGUUGCGCGGGGCGGGUGGAGUGACUCCCAUCGUCCUUUUCGUCCCCUCAGCGCUGAGCGGGACGGGGCUAGCCCUGGCCCCUCUCGCCCGCCGCUGCCGGCGCCGCCCUGCCCUGCCCUGUUCGCGGCCAGGCCCCUCCCGCAGCCGCCACCCGCGCAGACCGGGCUCCCCCCGGCAUCCCCCUCCCGCUCCAUCCUCCCCAGGGCCCUCCACAGCCUCCCUUGGGGGGUGGUCCCUAGCCUCGCUCAGUGCCGCCCGCCUGCGGACAACGGUGACUAGCUCCGGGUAACGUCCCUAGAGUCACGUGUCCGCCCCCCCCCCGUCCCUCCGUCACAGCGGCUGGGGGCUGGGCCGCUGAGCGGCUUUCCACGGAGACCGCAUCCUCCUUCCGGCCCCCCCGGCCCCCAAAGAACAGCUCCCCGGGGACCCGCACGGAUGUCCCAAACCAUUAACUGAAGGUUGACUGACCUAUCCGUGCAAAACAUCUGGAUGUCUUGGACCUCGUAAGCCACACAAAAACAGACGUCCGCAUUUAUAAAGAGACGACAGAGAGAAAUAACGCAGCCCAGCUCCACACAGUACGUCCAGUUUGGGGAGGUAAAAGACGUUCUACAGAGAUUGACAGAACCGUCCUGGCAUGUCCACACACAGCAUGGUUACGGCUGGAGUAGCAUCGAUAUAUUCUGGAAUUCCUGAAGCACUUUCUCCUUGAUACUUAGUACUGUUGCAGGGAGAGAGGAUUUGACGUAAUUUCCAACCACCAGGCAUUGCAGUCCACUGUAAAUGUAAUUCAAAGGGCCAUCUUCUGAACUAAUGCAGCUGCAACAUUUAAGGUUCCUGUCCCCACUGGGGAGAAUCUGUUGUAAUCUGCUCUGGUUCCCUCAAUGAAAGACAUUGUUCUGGUCAUUGCAAUUAACCAGUAAGUCAGUCAACAGUGUGCCCUUGUUGCCAAAAAGGCCAAUGGCAUUUUGGUAUGUAUAUGUAGGGGCAUUGCCAGCAGAUCGAGGGACGAGAUCGUUCCCCUCUAUUCGACAUUGGUGAGGCCUCAUCUGGAGUACUGUGUCCAGUUUUGGGCCCCACACUACAAGAAGGAUGUGGAAAAAUUGGAGAGAGUCCAGCGGAGGGCAACAAAAAUGAUUAGGGGAUUGGAACACAUGACUUAUGAGGAGAGGCUGAGGGAACUGGGAUUGUUUAGUCUGCGGAAGAGAAGAAUGAGGGGGGAUUUGAUAGCUGCUUUCAACUACCUGAAAGGGGGUUCCAAAGAGGAUGGAUCUAGACUGUUCUCAGUGGUAGCUGAUGACAGAACAAGGAGUAAUGGUCUCAAGUUGCAGUGGGGGAAGUUUAGGUUGGAUAUUAGGAAAAACUUUGUCACUAGGAGGGUGGUGAAACACUGGAAUGCGUUACCUAGGGAGGUGGUGGAAUCUCCUUCCUUAGAUAUUUUUAAGCUCAGGCUUGACAAAGCCCUGGCUGGGAUGGUUUAGUUGGGGAUUGGUCCUGCUUUGAGCAGGGGGUUGGACUAGAUGACCUCCUGAGGUCCCUUCCAACCCUGAUAUUCUAUGAUUCUAUGACACCGGUUGUGUGUAAAUGCAAGGCAUUCUACAGGCAGCAGAAGCUACAGAAACUGUAAGUAACACCAUUUUGUUUAGAGUACUCCGGGUCUUAGCGCCCAUAUUAGGAGAAGGGUGCCAUAACCAUUCCUCUGAUCUGGGGGAGGGGGUUAAGACUAGGGCAGUAGCAGGAGCCUUGGAGUAGGGAUGUAAAAUGUCAACCCGCCUUAACCAUUAACCCCCCCAGGCCAACCGACUGGCCGGCCCCAGCAGCCCCGCCCCAAACAGUCCUGGCCCCAGCUGGAGCGGCUCCAGCCCCAGCCACACCAGCCAGCCCUUUAAUCAGUUAACCGUUUAAACAAAAUAUUUCUUAAUCUUUAAACUUUUUAAACAGUGUUUACAUUCCUACCUUGGAGCAAGCAAAAUUGCUGACUGAGGAUUGAGGGUACACGUCUACAGCGGAUAAAAGCCCAAUGGCAUAGCCGCGGCUGGCUUGGCUCGGCUCAGCUGACUUGGGCUCACAGGGCUCAGGCUGCAGGGCUAAAAACUGUUGUGUAGACAUUCGGGUUCGGACUGCAGCCUGAGCUCUGGGACCCUCCAGCCAUAGACCAAAUUCUACACAGCAAUUUUUCAGCCCCAGAGCCCAAGCCCCACGAGCCUGAGUCAGCUGAUCCGGGCCAGCCAUAGGUUUUUUUAUCCCUUUGCUACAUGUGUCAGAGAAGACAGACUGAAGCCAGCAGUCUGGAUUUGUAGAAACCAGACCAAAGAAAAAAAAGUUGAGGUUUAAAAUACUAAAAGGAGAGAAAAGAAAAUACGUAACUGCUUCAAAUUCUUUUAAUCUACCACAUUUAUAAAAUGAGACUACACAGACCACAGAGAUAUUCCUCGUCAGCAUAAUGCACAGAGACUACAUAGCAACAAAGGCCAAUAUAAAAUAGUC